AUGGAGUUCUCCCGCCGCGGCCCAGCCACCGACGACCCUCCGCCGCACGGAGAGGCAAUGCUGGUGAUGAGGGACGCCCUGCUGUGGCAGCUCCAGAAGGACCACCUUCGCCAGGAGAUCAUCAUGGCCGAGCUGGCCAAGAUAGAGCGUGCCAUGGCCCUGGGCGCUGCGUCCGGUCACCACAGCAUGCCGAUGCCCCGGGACAGCAUGCCGCAGCACAAAGGACCCGUCUUCGGCUGGGAACACUACGCCGACGUGGGUGAGGAAAAUGAUGUCAAACUACCAAGCAACUAUGGAAGGCAGAGUGCAGAGCCCAGAUCUUGGAACCCCAUCGCGGAAGAUCGCGCGGAAAAAUGCUGCAGCCCGUGCAAAUGCAGGGUUGAUCCGGGUGAACAUAACUCGGCAUUUGAUGAACAGAAACCGCGAGAUUCCAGUGAGAAUGUUCCUCCAAAUAAAGCGUCGCCUGCGGAGAAGUGGGAACUGACAGGAAUAACCAUACCAGUUAAGAAGCCGAAGCCACCCAUGAGCCCCAGAAAAAGAAAGAAGCCACCCAUGAGAUGGAGUUGCCCGGGGUGCCAGGUACAAGCAGACUGUGCGCAGGACGUACAUAAGCAUUGUGCCGGGAAGAAGCACCGGUCAAAUAUAGCAAGACUGGAAUCAGGCAUUAAGGCCCUCGGUGGUCAGAAGGCAAAAAAAGCAGCAGAACCUUCUCUUGGUACAUAUCAGAUGAAAACAUCCUUGAUAAGAUGGAGCUGCAGCACCUGCCAGGCCAACGGUACAUGCCAGUCAGACUUGGAGGAGCACCUCAAAGGCACAUGGCAUCAGCAUAACAUCAAUGCCUUAUGCAAAGGAGGCAACAACGAUAUUGUGGAGAACAUUUCACUGCAUGAAGCAAAAUCGCGCGAGAGCAAUGUGCCACAGCAUGCAGAGAAGCCACCUUUAGCAGGUUGCAACAUUUGCCAAGUUAUCUGUGGCCGCGAAUCAGAUCUUGAGAUCCACCUGAAGGGUAAAAGGCACUUAAAGAAGAUUCAAGCUCUAUUCGAAGAAAGCAAUACCAAGGCAAUCAAUUCUGAGUCUCUGAAAGCAAACUUGAACCUGGACAGCGGGCCGCUACAUGUGGAGAAAAUGAACUGUGACCUAGACUUGGAGAACCACGUCAGAGAUGAAAGACGCACACUGAAUGCUCGGACCCUUUGCGAAACAAUCAACCAAGAGGAAAACAGUCCACCAGAAAUUUCCAAAGAACAAACACCAUCCUUGGAAUGGGAUUGCACUAUGUGCCAGGCCAAAUGUGCCUCUAAAGCCCAUUUCGAGAAUCACUGCAUAAGCAGAAAGCAUCAACAGAGGACCCAGGUGAUACUCAGCGAAUGCGAUAUCACGAAAACGGGCAGGACCCAUGCGGUACUCAGCGAAGGCGAUAUCACGAAAAUGGGCAAUAUCCACAUGGAAGCAUCAUGCAAAGAAGGCAGUAACAAUGAUAUGGAAAAGAACGUUGUGUCACAGGAAGCAAAAUCGCAUGAGAGCAAUGUGCCAGAGCAUGCAGAGAAACCACCUUCAGUACAGAGCUGCAACAUUUGCCAAGGUAUCUGUAAUUGCGCACCAGAUUUUGAUAUGCCGCAACAUGUAGAGGAGACGAGUUGCAAAUUAAGCUGGGAGAGCUACCUCAGACCCAGAGACGAGAGUCUCCAACUGAUGGAUGAUUGGGCCCUUCGCGAAAAAAUUAACCAAGAUAAAAGCAAUCCACCAGAAAUGUCCAAGGACCAAAUAUCAUCCUCGGAAUGGGAUUGCGCUACAUGCCAGGCCAAAUGUAACUCUGACCCUCAAACCGAGCAUCACUGUAAAAACGGAAAGCAUCAACAGAAGAUCGAUGUGACACUCCACGAAGGCGAUAUUGCCGAAGUUAGCAGUCUCAAUGCAGCCCUUUGCAAAGAAGACAAUAACAGCCAUAUGGACGUUGCGGCAUGGGAAGCAAAAUCGGAUGAGUGCAUUGUGUCGCAGCAUGUAGAGAAGCCACCUUCAGUAUGGAGUUGCAGCGAUUGCCAAGUUAUCUGUGCCCGCGAAUCAGAUUUUGAGGUCCACCUGAAGCGUGAAAGGCACUUGAUGAAGAUUGGAGCCCUGCUCGAAGAAAGUAAGAACAUGGCAAUAUCCGAGUCACAGAAAGCAAACCUGUACCCGGACAGCGUGCCGCAGCAUGCGGAGAAAAUGAAUUGUGAAUUAGAUUUGGGGAACAACCACGGAGAUGAGAGACACCAACUGAAUGUUUGCUCCCCUUGCAAAGAAAACAACCAAAUGAAAAAAAAUCCUCCAGAAAUUGCCAACGACCAAGAACCACCCUCAGAAUGGGAUUGUGCUAUGUGUCGGGAAAAAUGUAACUCUGAAUCUCAGAUUGAGCAUCAUUGUGAAAGCAGAAGGAAUCAACAGAAGACCGACGUGAUACUCCGCGAAGGCGAUAUUGCGAUAGUGAACAGUCUCCACAUCGUAUCCUCAUGCAAGGAAGGCGAUAACAACAGCACGGGCAUUACACCACAGGAAGCAAAAUCAGACGAGAACAAUGUGCAGCAGCAUGCAGAGAAGCCACCUCCGGUAUGGGAUUGCAGCGUUUGCCAAGUUACGUGUAACCGCGAAUCGGAUUUGGUGUUCCACCUGAACAGUAAAAGGCACUUAAAGAAGUUUCGGGCCCUACUCGAAGGAAGCAAUAAUAAGGCAAUGAAUUCUGACUCACAGACAGCAAACUUGAACCAGGACAGUGUGCCUCAGCAUGCGGAGAAAACAAAUUGCGAACUAAACUGGGAGAGCUACCACAGACUCGGAGACAAGAAACACCAACUCAAUGUUCAGGCCCUUGGCGAAGCAAUCAACCAAGAUAAAAACAGUCCGGCAGAAAAGGACCAGAUGCUGUCCUUGGAAUGGGACUGCGCGAUGUGCCAGGCCAAAUGUAACUCUAAAGUUCAACUUGAGCAUCACUGCACAGGCAGAAAGCAUCAGCAGAAGACCCAGGCUGUACUUGGCGAAGGUGAUAUUGCGGAAAUAAGCAGUAGCAAUGAUAUGGCGAAGAACGUUGUGUCACGGGACGCAAAGUCGCGUGAAAGAAAUGUGCCACAGCAUGUGGAGAAGCCACCUUUAGUAGGUUGCAGCAUUUGCCAAGUUAUCUGUGGCCGUGAAUCAGAUCUAGAGAUCCACCUGAAGGCUAAAAGGCACUUAAAGAAGAUUCGAGCUCUAUUUGAAGAAAGCCAGAAGGCAAUCAACUCAGAGUCUCUGAAAGCAAACUUGAACCGGGACAGCGGGCCGCUACAAGUGGGGAAAAUGGACUGUGACCUAGACUCGGAGAACCACCUUAGAGAUGAAAGACACCAACUGAAUGUUCGGACCCUUUGCGAAACAAUCAACCAAGAGGAAAACAGUCCACCAGAAAUUUCCAAAGACCAAACACCAUCCUCGGAAUGGGAUUGCGCUGCGUGCCAGGCCAAAUGUAUCUCUAGAGCCCAUUUUGAGAAUCAGUGCAUAAGCAGAAAGCAUCAACAGAGGACCCAGGUGAUGCUCAGCGAAGGUGAUAUUGCGAUAGUGAACAGUCUCCACAUGGGAGCAUCAUGCAAAGGCAGUAACAAUGUGUCACAGGAUGCAAAAUCGCAUGAGAGCAAUGCACCAGAGCAUGAGUCACCUCCAAUAAAGAGUUGCAGCAUUUGCCAAGGUAUCUGUAACUGCGAAUCGGAUUUGGAUAUCCACCUGAUGAGUAAAAGGAUCCAAGUUGUCACAGAAGAAUGCAAGAACACGGCAAUGAGUUCUGAGUUACAGAAAGCAAAGUUGAAUUCAAGCGACGUGCCACAACAUGUAGAGGAAACGAGUUGCCAGUUAAACUGGGAGAGCUACUCCAGACGCGGAGACGAGAGUCUCCAACUGGUGGAUGAUCAGGCCCUUUGCGAAAAAAUCAACCAAGAUAAAAACAAUCCACCAGAGAUUGCCAAGGACCAAAUACCGUCCUCGGAAUGGGAUUGCGCUACAUGCCAGGCCAAAUGUAACUCUAAGGCUCAAUUUGAGAAUCACUGCAUGAGCAGAAAGCAUCAAAGGAAGGUUCAGGUGAUGCUCGCCAGAGGCGAUUUGUCGUAA
rnacentral:rRNA from 1 species